rnacentral:lncRNA from 1 species
AUAUGUAUAUAUAUAUGUAUAUGUAUAUAUAUAUAUGUAUGUGCGUAUUCCUAUCAUUAAAUGCAGUUGCUUUGAAGGGAAAGGCACAAGUAGGUUUCUUGUGCCAUAUCAUAUUCUUUUCUCGUGUUAUGUCAUAAAUGUAUAUUGGAGCAGGAGAACCCAAGAAAUACUCUCUCGAUGCAAUCGAUCCAUCUGGCAGUUCCAUUGCCGCUUGAAAUUGGUUUGGACGCUUUCUUACUUCUUUGUCAUGGAAAUGAGAUCAUAUUAUGAGAGAUUUACUACUCCGAAAAAAUGUUGGCACUUGAUACUUAUGCUACCAUGUAAAACAAUUCCUAUGUCAUGAACAAUAUUACUUUGAGAAAGUAGCUGGUCUUCAUCUCUAUUUCAAGUGUUCAAAUAAGUAGAUAGAAUAAAAAGAAUAAAAUGCGAUCAUAUUUAAAUACUAUCCAUCUGCAUCUCCUGGGCUUUCAGAACUUUGCAGAGACUGGCAAUUUACUUGGGUGAAUCAUGCAUACCAUAUAGAAAACUUCUACAACAUCCACGGAGAUCUUUAUUUCUCUAAAACUAAUUUAGCAAGGUAGCUAGUGGACCAUAUAAUUAAUUCUAGUCUAUGCCGACUG